rnacentral:lncRNA from 1 species
GUUUUGAUGUGGCAAUUAUUGACGCUCUGCUGCUCUUUCCCGGAAGGUAGAGGGCAAGCCAAAGGGAAGGAGUUGGGGGGCCAGCAGUUGAUGCCUUGAGCACAGAUCCUAUGGUUAAAGGAGGAGGAGUGGGGACAUUUGUUACUGAACCUUCUAUUCCACCUAGAGAUCCGAAAAUACAUUUGGGUGGUUUUGAGGUAAGGGAGCAAAGGAGCCAGCCCUGUCCAGCCUGGUAUUUAGGUAUGAUGAGGGCUCAGGUAUUGCUCUAGCCCCAUAAUCAGAAAGUCAGGUAAGGUUUUAAGUCAACUCUAUCAAGAAAUUUGAUUCAAUCAUGCAAUCAAUGAUUCAGCCUAAGUUGAUGAAUCACUUACUGUGUGUCAGGGCACUCACUGGGUGCUGGGAAACAUCAGUAUGCAGUCACUUAAUUUAGAAUUUUUCUGCGAGAGUCACUCUCGUUAGGUUCCUUUAGAUCCAAAAACAACUUAGGAGGAGGCUGUCUGUUUUAGGUUGAAUUCUCCUGAAAGCCAGCUUAAGCCCAGGAUUCAUGUAGAAGUUCUUAAUGAAGGAAGUGCCCCCAGAAGAAACCAGAAAGGGUGUAAAGGAAGCAGCACAGGAAAGGAAAUGAAGCCGAAUGAGGGUGAUUUUGGGUGAAGUCUCAGACUUGGACUGAUCCCUCUGAGAGCUCUAGGGGGUAAUAUCUUUGAGAUUUUGUACCAUACCAGAAUAAAAGAGUUGGGGUUGUGAAUUCCCACACCAGUCAACUAUUGGCUAUGGGCUUACCAUGGGAGACGUAAUACACCCGGCACUUCCAACUCACAUACCAGAGACAUGGCUCUAGCACCCAAUGGAAAUAUGCUGAAUGUUGCAGGUGCAAGACAGCAACAAAGCAGACAGAGGCACAUAGACAAGGCACCAACAGUGUCCACUAUACCCUGACAGUGUGGAAAGUUGUAGAUAGGAUGAAGAGAAAGAAUACACACACACACACACACACACACACACACACACACACACACACACGGUAGAGACUUACUACUCAAAGUGUGAUCCUCAGACCAGCAGCAUCUGGCCGAAUGGUGAUCUAUCACCUUCCAGGAGCUUGUUAGAAACGCAGAAUCUGGCUGGGCACAGUAGCUCAC